CUCUCGAAUAGCGGAAGGUGCCCCACCUUAGACACCUUCUUGAGUGGGUCUUAGAAGCCCAGGCAAAUAAAUGGUCGCAGAGGACCUCCGCACUCCAGAUGGAGACUCAGCUGGAAGUUAAGGAGAAAAAUGACAUGGGGAGACCAAGCUUUGGCGAGCAAGCAUCCUUGUUUCACUUCAGCCUGGAGGUGCUGAAGAGCAAGCCAUAUGGGGAAAAGGCAGACGUGUGGGCAUCCUUUAUCAGAUGGCAACCUUGGAUCCUCCCUUCUACAGCACCAACAUGCUCUCCCUGGACACAAAUAUAGUGGAGGCGGUGUAUGAACCAGUGCCAGAAGACAUCUACUCUGAAAAGGUGAUCACUACCAUUAGCAGGCACUUUAAAAAGAAGUUUUAGUGCUUCAGGAGGAGAAAGACAAUCCCAAACUAG
ensembl:lncRNA